AAGACUAUACUUUCAGGGAUCAUUUCUGUAGUUUCUUAGUAGAGAAGUUUCUCUGACUGUGUAGAAUACUAGAAAUUACGAGGAGGAGGCACAGCAUUGUCUCCUGAGUGUGAAGCUGUCACUGGGUGUCGCUUGUGUGACUGCAGUGGCCAUUGAUGGUAGUUCUUCUCUCCCCUGGAUGUAUGUAGUCUGAGUGGC
rnacentral:snoRNA from 1 species